CCUACGGGGGGCUGCAGUGGGGGAUAUUGCACAAUGGGGGGAACCCUGAUGCAGCGACGCCGCGUGGGUGAAGAAGCGCCUCGGCGCGUAAAGCCCUGUCAGCAGGGAAGAAAAUGACGGUACCUGAAGAAGAAGCCCCGGCUAACUACGUGCCAGCAGCCGCGGUAAUACGUAGGGGGCAAGCGUUAUCCGGAUUUACUGGGUGUAAAGGGGGCGCAGACGGCGAUGCAAGCCAGGAGUGAAAGCCCGGGGGCCAACCCCGGGACUGCUCUUGGAACUGCGUGGCUGGAGUGCAGGAGGGGCAGGCGGAAUUCCUGGUGUAGCGGUGAAAUGCGUAGAUAUCAGGAGGAACACCGGUGGCGAAGGCGGCCUGCUGGACUGCAACUGACGUUGAGGCCCGAAAGCGUGGGGAGCAAACAGGAUUAGAUACCCUGGUAGUC
rnacentral:rRNA from 1 species